AAGCAUCUAAGCGGGAAACUUGCCUCAAGAUGAGAUCUCACUGGGAACUUGAUUCCCCUGAAGGGCCGUCGAAGACUACGACGUUGAUAGGCUGGGUGUGUAAGCGUUGUGAGGCGUUGAGCUAACCAGUACUAAUUGCCCGUGAGGCUUGACCAUAUAACACCCAAACA
rnacentral:rRNA from 1 species